CCCUGCAGUACUGGGUUUCUAACCUGCGCCCGUGACCCGGGCGGGGGACAAUGUCAGGCGGGGAGUUUGACUGGGGCGGUCGCUCCGAAAGGGUAUCGGAGGCGCUCAAAGGUCUCCUCAGGAUGGUUGGAAACCAUCCAGAGAGUGCAAAGGCAGAAGGAGGCUUGACUGCGACACCGACGGGUGGAGCAGGUACGAAAGUAGGACUUAGUGAUCCGGUGGCAUAAAGUGGGAUUGCCAUCGCUCAACGGAUAAAAGCUACCCUGGGGAUAACAGGCUUAUCACUCCCAAGAGUUCACAUCGACGGAGUGGUUUGGCACCUCGAUGUCGGCUCAUCGCAUCCUGGAGCUGGAGCAGGUUCCAAGGGUUGGGCUGUUCGCCCAUUAAAGCGGUACGCGAGCUGGGUUCAGAACGUCGUGAGACAGUUCGGUCCCUAUCCGGCGCGGGCGCAGGAUAUCUGAGAGGAGCUGUCCUUAGUACGAGAGGACCGGGAUGGACCGUCCGCUGGUGGACCGGUUGUCAUGCCAAUGGCACGGCCGGGUAGCCAAGACGGGAAGGGAUAAACGCUGAAGGCAUCUAAGCGUGAAGCCCCCCUCAAGAUGAGAUAUCCAUACUCGAAAGAGUGAGAGACCCCUUAGAGACGAUGAGGUAGAUAGGGCAGAGAUGGAAGCACAGCGAUGUGUGGAGUUGACUGUUACUAAUCGGUCGAAAGCUUGACCUUAG
rnacentral:rRNA from 2 species